rnacentral:tRNA from 1 species
GGCUGGAUAGCAUAGUGGAUUGAUGCAAAAGACUGCAACUCUUUUUACAGGAGUUCGAUUCUCCUUCUAGCCU